rnacentral:lncRNA from 1 species
AGCAAAUCUCUUGAGUCAUUGAUGUACAAAUCCUGUUCUCAUUUGGGCUAGGAUUGGAAGGCAGGGAGUACCUGCUUUUAAAGAAGUUGGACUUACACGAUGGAGAGAAGUAGGAAGAAUUAUAAGUGAAAAACAUGUGGUAUGGAAAUUCUCUUAGCUUACAGAGGAACAGGAGAAAGAUAUCUUCUCAGAAAGAAUAUUUUCUCAAAAGGAAGUAAACCAGUGACAUGGCAGAGAGGCCCAAGGAGAAGAAAUCUUCAGCCAUGAUGUGCUCAAAUGCCAUGCACCUUGAGGUAAAAAGCAUCUGAUCUUGCUAUAGAAAUUACAGUAUGAAAGACAGUCAACAAAAUUGCAGUGAGACCGUACAGCAGAAAAAGUGUCAGAGCAAGACAGAUUGGAACACCUUGAAAAACCACAUCUCUGAUUCUUUUCAGGUGUGUUGAUACAAUAAUUGGAUGAGUUUCUUCUACAAAGCUGUAAAAUCUGACUUUGUAAACUUAUCAGGAGAUGAUGAUGUUUCCAUGUAAAAAAAUGAACAAGAAAUAGAAUGAAAGCUGAAUUCCUAUUCAGUUUUUCAACUAUUGAAGAGCUGCAAAAAUAUCCUAAACACCCCAUCAUUUAAACAUAACCCUAUAUUUCACUUUCUCAAAUAAACAGCUUCAACAUUUCCA